AAAUUAGGGAUCUAUGUUGAAAAUCUCACAGAGUGUUUACGUACAAUGUCAGAUGUAAAGCAGCUUUUAAUGAAGCACUCUGACCAGCAUUCACCAAAAGUACGCCAUCUACUUCUUAGCAGGAGAGGCUUGGUGGGAUUGCUGGUAUCGAAUUUGAGCUGGUACUUUUCAAGUUGAGUGAGAAAAGUGUGGUGAGGGUUUGACUCUGUAUGUUCAGUGUCUUCAUCUCUAACAGAGGCUCUCCUUAGAGCCUCUUCACGACUGGUUCUUGCUUGCUUCCCUUGGAACUCCACCCCCUUUAAAAAAGGGUGGGAAGUGGAAAGACUUAUACGAUGUGGGGUCCAACCAACUCAUUUUUGGAUUAAAACAUAUCGAGUGAUCAACAAGGUUUAACUCCUAGAAUUUUUGAGCGUCUUUUUGCUUGGAUAAAUGAGAUUUACAACGAGCAAAUUACAGAUUUAUUGGAUCCUAAUCAAAGAAAUUUCCAGGUUGAGAAAUGGAUCCAGAAAGUGGAACGUGAAAUGUAGAAAGAAGAAGGUUUUGAAUCUUAAAAGAAAAUUUGAUUGCAACAGAAGUUAAAAGGAAGGUAGACAGAGAGAGAAGAUUCCUGUCCAGCAUUGUACAAGAUUUUGAUAAGCUUCCUUUAUGCUAUGACAAAUGCAUGUUCUCUAGUUGGUGGUAGCGAGAUAUUUAUGAUGGCCGUUGGUGGUGGAAAAUGUCAGAUGGAUCUGUAUCUUUUAUCUCAAAAGUGGAAGGAGCUGGUGGAGAAAGCCCGUUCAAAGCAACUUCAACCUCACGAGUACAAUUCAGGCAUGUUUGGAGUGGAUAGAUUCAACACUAUACUUCCGCCAGGCCAGGGUGCUAUUAUGGUUGUUGGAGCUUCAAAGCCGGCAGUUGUGGCUGAUGUAGAUGGCUUCUUCAGUGUAAAGAGUAAAAUGCUGGUGACUUUGAAGGAUCUAAUAAAUAAUGCACAACUGAAUUUUUGGUUGCUGCAAUACGAAGGUUAUGGGGGGUCAAAAUACAGAUAAUGUAGAGGAAUUUUGUUUAAGCUGAGUUAAGUAACGGCUGGAAAUUGCUCUCUAAGGAAAAAAAGAAUAAAACAAAAGAACAAGUUGAAGAUGUUAAUUGGGCGCAAUUGGGUGCUAGAAAGAUAAAGAGCAAUACACUCAUCUCGGGAAGAACAUUGAGCCAUAGCAAAUGGGGGGCAAAUUUGCUUUAAAGGCUUGGUUGGGUAAAUUGGGUAAAUGAUGAAAG